rnacentral:rRNA from 1 species
UACGUAGGGUGCGAGCGUUAAUCGGAAUUACUGGGCGUAAAGCGCACGUAGGCGGCUUUGUAAGUUAGAGGUGAAAGCCCGGGGCUCAACUCCGGAAUUGCCUUUAAGACUGCAUCGCUAGAAUUGUGGAGAGGUAAGUGGAAUUCCGAGUGUAGAGGUGAAAUUCGUAGAUAUUCGGAAGAACACCAGUGGCGAAGGCGACUUACUGGACACAUAUUGACGCUGAGGUGCGAAAGCGUGGGGAGCAAACAGG